UUCAGAUUCUGUGCAUAACAUUAUAUCAAUGGUGUGUACUCGUGUGAGGUUUUGUUGUUGAAAGAUGUAUUGAUCUCUCAAUUACCAUUUUGCAUUUGUUCCCUAAGAAGCUAACAUCUGUUGAAAAGCAUUUCACUUUGAUUCUCACCUAUUCAAUUCUCAAACUGCUAAUUCGCAACAGUUGGUCA